GAUGAACGCUGGCGGCGUGCCUAAUACAUGCAAGUCGAGCGAACAGACGAGGAGCUUGCUCCUCUGACGUUAGCGGCGGACGGGUGAGUAACACGUGGAUAACCUACCUAUAAGACUGGGAUAACUUCGGGAAACCGGAGCUAAUACCGGAUAAUAUAUUGAACCGCAUGGUUCAAUAGUGAAAGACGGUUUUGCUGUCACUUAUAGAUGGAUCCGCGCCGCAUUAGCUAGUUGGUAAGGUAACGGCUUACCAAGGCAACGAUGCGUAGCCGACCUGAGAGGGGGAUCGGCCACACUGGAACUGAAACACGGUCCAGACUCCUACGGGAGGCAGCAGUAGGGAAUCUUCCGCAAUGGGCGAAAGCCUGACGGAGCAACGCCGCGUGAGUGAUGAAGGUCUUCGGAUCGUAAAACUCUGUUAUUAGGGAAGAACAAAUGUGUAAGUAACUAUGCACGUCUUGACGGUACCUAAUCAGAAAGCCACGGCUAACUACGUG
rnacentral:rRNA from 1 species